rnacentral:rRNA from 1 species
GCUAGAUAGCUAGCUUAAACAAAAACACCAAAUGAACAACCAUAGAUAUAAAAGUAGAAACAAAACCGCAACAAACCAUUUUUCCACCCCAGUAUAGGCGAUAGAAAAGGAAAACUUCAAGCGAUAGAAAAAGUACCGCAAGGGAAAGCUGAAAGAGAAAUGAAACAACCCAUAAAAGCAAUAAAAAGCAGAGACUAAACCUCGUACCUUUUGCAUCAUGAUUUAGCUAGUAAGAUUCAAGCAAAGAGAACUUUAGUUUGAAACCCCGAAACUAGACGAGCUACUCCGGGACAGCCUAUAAUAGGGCCAACCCGUCUCUGUGGCAAAAGAGUGGGACGAUCCCCGAGUAGAGGUGACAAACCUAUCGAGCCUAGUUAUAGCUGGUUGCUUAGGAAAUGAAUAUUAGUUCAGCCUUACACUAUUCUCAGAUCAGGAAACCACCACUGAUAAAGAACCAGAGUAAUAUGUAAGAGUUAGUCAGAGGAGGUACAGCUCCCCUGAAAAAGAACACAACCUUAACAGGAGGAUAAGGAUCAUAUUAAUUAAGGUACCCUGCUUCAGUGGGCCUAAGAGCAGCCACCUGUAUAGAAAGCGUUAAAGCUCAAGCAGAAUUAAACCCGUAAUACCGAUAACCCAUCCUACUCCCCUAAAAAUACUAAGCCAUUCUAUGCCCCCAUAGAAGAGAUAAUGCUAAAAUCAGUAAUAAGAAGGAACAACCUUCUCCCGGCACAUGUGUAAGUCAGAUCGGACCCCCCACUGACAAAUAACGAACCCAGAUAAAGAGGGAAACGCAGAAAACAAACAACACCAAGAAAUACCUACGAAAAAUGAUCGUUAACCCAACACAGGUGUGCCACAGGGAAAGACUAAAAGGGGAAGAAGGAACUCGGCAAACAUGAGCCUCGCCUGUUUACCAAAAACAUCGCCUCUUGCUAAAAACGAAGUAUUAGAGGUCCCGCCUGCCCUGUGACCAAGAGUUUAACGGCCGCGGUAUUCUGACCGUGCGAAGGUAGCGUAAUCACUUGUCUUUUAAAUGGAGACCUGUAUGAAUGGCACCACGAGGGCUCGACUGUCUCCUCCCCCCAGUCAAUGAAAUUGAUCUGCCCGUGCAGAAGCGGACAUAAAAACAUAAGACGAGAAGACCCUAUGGAGCUUAAGACAAAAGGCCAAACAUGCCCAGCAACCCCACUAAACAAAAGAAAUAAAAGGAAAACUAAGCCUAAUGAAAUGAUGGCCGGAAUGUCUUCGGUUGGGGCGACCGCGGAGGAAAAAACAGCCUCCAUGUGGAAUGGGGGUAAACAACCCCUAAAACUAAGAGAAACACCUCUAAGUAACAGAACAUCUGACCAAAAAUGAUCCAGGCCGAAGCCUGAUCAACGAACCAAGUUACCCUAGGGAUAACAGCGCAAUCCUUUCCCAGAGUCCAUAUCGACGAAAGGGUUUACGACCUCGAUGUUGGAUCAGGACAUCCUAAUGGUGCAGCCGCUAUUAAGGGUUCGUUUGUUCAACGAUUAAAGUCCUACGUGAUCUGAGUUCAGACCGGAGAAAUCCAGGUCGGUUUCUAUCUAUGAAGUAAUUUUUCCUAGUACGAAAGGACCGGAAAAAGGGGGCCAAUACUGAAAGCAAGCCCCACCCCCACCUGCUGAAACCAAAUAAAACAGAGAAGGGAGUACAAUUAAAGCAACCGAAGAUAACGGCGC